UGGGGAAUUUUGCACAAUGGGGGAAACCCUGAUGCAGCGACGCCGCGUGAUUUAGAAGGCCUUCGGGUUGUAAAAAUCUUUUCUAUGGGAAGAAAAUGACAGUACCAUAGGAAUAAGGACCGGCUAAUUACGUGCCAGCAGCCGCGGUAAUACGUAAGGUCCGAGCGUUGUCCGGAAUCAUUGGGCGUAAAGGGUACGUAGGCGGGUAAGCAAGUUAGAAGUGAAAUCCUAUAGCUCAACUAUAGUAAGCUUUUAAAACUGCUCAUCUUGAGGUAUGGAAGGGAAAGUGGAAUUCCUAGUGUAGCGGUGAAACGCGCAGAUAUUAGGAGGAAUACCGGUGGCGAAGGCGACUUUCUGGCCAUAACCUGACGCUGAGGUACGAAAGCGUGGGUAGCAAACAGG
rnacentral:rRNA from 1 species